rnacentral:rRNA from 1 species
AUUGAACGCUGGCGGCAUACCUUACACAUGCAAGUCGAACGGUAACGGGUCCUUCGGGAUGCCGACGAGUGGCGAACGGGUGAGUAAUAUAUCGGAACGUGCCCAGUAGUGGGGGAUAACUGCUCGAAAGAGCAGCUAAUACCGCAUACGACCUGAGGGUGAACGGGGGGGAUCGCAAGACCUCUCGCUAUUGGAGCGGCCGAUAUCAGAUUAGCUAGUUGGUGGGGUAAAGGCCUACCAAGGCAACGAUCUGUAGUUGGUCUGAGAGGACGACCAGCCACACUGGGACUGAGACACGGCCCAGACUCCUACGGGAGGCAGCAGUGGGGAAUUUUGGACAAUGGGCGCAAGCCUGAUCCAGCAAUGCCGCGUGCAGGAAGAAGGCCUUCGGGUUGUAAACUGCUUUUGUCAGGGAAGAAAUCUUCUGGGCUAAUACCCCGGGAGGAUGACGGUACCUGAAGAAUAAGCACCGGCUAACUACGUGCCAGCCGCCGCAGUAA